rnacentral:lncRNA from 1 species
GGGUUCUGUGUUUGUCCCUUUAUUCAUUCAACUACUUAUUAAGCACCUACUGGGAGUCAGACACUUUUUCUAAGUACUAAGAUUACCCCUGGGAACAAGAUGGUGCCUCCAUGAGAUGCCUCCAAGAACUAAGACAAAACAAAGAAUUAACUAAUAUGACAUUGGGCUUGAUGAAAGAGACAGUAAUGGGAAGGGCAGAGAAAGAUGUGUAGCGUGAAGAAACUGGCACCAUUUUGACUGGAGUGAAGAGGAAAUUUGAGCAGAGACUCAAAGAGGCGAACCCACGCAGUCAUGGGAAGUGUUCCACACAGGUGGAAGUACACGAUUACAGGUCAAGGACAGCUUCUUGGGGAAAACUCUGACCUCUCAGGCUAGGUUGAGUCACCCAUUGCUGAUGCUCCGGAGAAGACCCAGGACUUCUCCUUAGAGCAUACUUCAGCAUUUCUGAAGAUACCACUUUCUCUGAUCCUGUUUCUGGGCUGAUGUGGAGAGUGUCUGUCACCCCUGCGACAUUGCUAGAAGCUGCAGGUCACCAUCUCCUUGUCCACCGCUGUGGUCCCAGUACCUAGGCUGGGGCCUGACAGGUGGUAGAUGCUCCACAGAGGUGCUCGCUGCCCUCCCCGCAUUCUCUUGUUUCAUCUUCACAGCUCCACUGUGUGAGUGCUGCCGUUAUCCCCACUUUCCGAAUGCAGAAACCGAGACUCAGAAGGGGAGGUGGCUUGCCAGAGCCAGGCAGGUGUUUAAACAGGCAUGUGCAUGUCACCCAGUCAGAGCCAGUGACUCAUCAGCAACGUUGGUUGGAGCUUCCAGGAAAGAGAUGCCAUCUGCCCCACUGGAGAGCCUCGGGUUGAAGGCGAAGCCGUGGAAGACGGACCAGAGCCUGGAGGGGAUCAGGCCUGCAGUGGCAUCGUCGGAGGCACUGCAUCACGCCUCACCUGAACGAGACAUGCAUCCGGGCACCCCAAUCCCUAUGUUCUAA